GCCUCCGUAGCUCAACCGGAUAGAGCGACAGUUUUCUAAACUGUAGGUUGCAGGUUCAAGUCCUGCCGGAGGUACCA
rnacentral:tRNA from 1 species